AGCAGCCGCGGUAAUUCCAGCUCCAAUAGCGUAUAUUAAAGUUGUUGCAGUUAAAAAGCUCGUAGUUGAAUUUCGGGAUUGACGUGAUGGUCAUGCCUUAAGGGGUAUGAACUGUUACAGUUGAUUUCUCACCUUCUGGAGAAACUUGAUGUCCUUUAUUGGGUGUCUUGCGGAUCCAGGACCUUUACCUUGAAAAAUUAGAGUGUUUAAAGCAGGCAUUUUUGCUCGAAUACAUUAGCAUGGAAUAAUAGAAUAGGACGGCAUGGUUCUAUUUUGUUGGUUUCUAGGAUCACCGUAAUGAUUAAUAGGGAUAGUUGGGGGCAUUAGUAUUCAAUUGUCAGAGGUGAAAUUCUUGGAUUUAUUGAAGACUAACUACUGCGAAAGCAUUUGCCAAGGAUGUUUUCAUUAAUCAAGAACGAAAGUUAGGGGAUCGAAGACGAUCAGAUACCGUCGUAGUCUUAACCAUAAACUAUGCCGACUAGGAAUCAGACGAUGUUAAUUUUUUAAUGACUCGUUUGGU
rnacentral:rRNA from 1 species